GAUGAAGAACGUAGCGAAAUGCGAUAAGUAAUGUGAAUUGCAGAAUUCAGUGAAUCAUCGAAUCUUUGAACGCACAUUGCGCCCGCCAGUAUUCUGGCGAGCAUGCCUGUUCGAGCGUCAUUUCAACCAUCAAGCCCCAGGCUUGUGUUGGAGCCCUGCGGCUGCCGCAGCCUCCCAAAACCAGUGGCGGGCUCGCUAUCACACCGAGUGCAGUAGUUUACUCUUCGCUCAGGGCGUGUGGCGGGUGCUAGCCGUGAAACCCCCAACUUCUCAAGGUUGACCUCGGAUCAGGUAGGAAUACCCGCUGAACUUAAGCAUAUCAAUAAGCGGAGGGA
rnacentral:misc_RNA from 1 species